GACGAACGCUGGCGGCGUGCUUAACACAUGCAAGUCGAACGGAGUGGCAAACGGGUGAGUAACACGUAAACAACCUGCCUUCAGGAUGGGGACAACAGACGGAAACGACUGCUAAUACCGAAUACCUGAAGAGGGGUUUGCGUCUGAUUAGGCAGUUGGUGGGGUAACGGCCCACCAAACCAACGAUGAGUAGACGGGCUGAGAGGAUGAACGGCCACACUGGAACUGAGACACGUUCCAGACUCCUACGGGGGGCAGCAGUGGGGAAUCUUGCGCAAUGGACGAAAGUCUGAUGCAGCCAUGCCGCGUGUGUGAAGAAGGCCUUCGGGUUGUAAAGCACUUUCAGCGGGGAGGCGUUACCCGCAGAAGAAGCACCGGCUAACUCCGUGCCAGCAGCCGCGGUAAUAC
rnacentral:rRNA from 1 species